rnacentral:snoRNA from 1 species
AAGACUAUACUUUCAGGAAUCAUUUCUAUAGUUCGUUACUAGAAAUGGGAGUCAUUAAAUUCUGCAGUCAGGACCUCGUAGGCCUGCAACAGGAGGC